AACGAACGCUGGCGGCAGGCUUAACACAUGCAAGUCGAGCGCGCCGCAGGGGGCGCGGCAGACGGGUGAGUAACGCGUGGGAACCUACACAUCUCUACGGCAUAACGCCCGGACACGUCCGCCCAUACCGUAUACCUCCUUCGGGCGGAAGAUAUAUCGGAGAUGGAUGAGCCAGCGUGUGAUAAGCUAGUUGGUGGGGUAAAGGCCUACCAAGGCGACGAUCCAUAGCUGGUCUGAGAGGAUGACCAGCGACACUGGGACUGCGACACGGCCCAGACUCCUACGGGAGGAAGCAGUGGGGAAGAUUGGACAAUGGGCGCAAGCCUGAUCCAGCCAUGGCCCGUAAGUGAUGAAGGCCCUAGGGUUGUAAAGCUCUUUCACAGGUGAAGAUAAUGACGGUAAAAGGAGAAGAAGCCCCGGCUAACUUCGUGCCAGCCGCCGCAGUAAUAC
rnacentral:rRNA from 1 species